GGAAGUAAAAGUCGUAACAAGGUUUCCGUAGGUGAACCUGCGGAAGGAUCAUUAUUGAAUACUCUUGAUGAGUUGUAGCUGGCUCUCCGGGGCAUGUGCACGCUUGUCUUGAUUUUAUUCAUCCACCUGUGCACCUUUUGUAGUCUUGGGGGUUGAAAGCAGUCGACUAUCGGAUGGCUAUGGCUUUUCCGGAUGUGAGAAAUGCUGAGUGCAUAGACGCAUACAGCUCUUCUCAAAUGACUUGCAAACCCUUGAGUACUAUGUAUUCAUAUACCACGUCGUAUGUUGUAGAAUGUGAUCAAUGGGUCUAUGUACCUAUAAUAAUCAUAUACAACUUUCAGCAACGGAUCUCUUGGCUCUCGCAUCGAUGAAGAACGCAGCGAAAUGCGAUAAGUAAUGUGAAUUGCAGAAUUCAGUGAAUCAUCGAAUCUUUGAACGCACCUUGCGCUCCUUGGUAUUCCGAGGAGCAUGCCUGUUUGAGUGUCAUUAAAUUCUCAACCCCUCCAGUUGUGAUGGGGCUUGGAUAUGGGAGUUUGCGGGUCCUUUAUCAGUAAAGGUCAGCUCUCCUGAAAUACAUUAGCGGAACCGUUUGCAGUCCCGUCACUAGUGUGAUAAUUAUCUACACUGUGAUGAUUGCUCUCUGCCUUGUUCAGCUGCUAAUCGUCCGUUACGGACAAUGUUUAAUGAACUUCUUGACCUCAAAUCAGGUAGGACUACCCGCUGAACUUAAGCAUAUCAAUAAGCGGAGGA
rnacentral:rRNA from 1 species